ACACGUGGCAGGGCUGUUUGCAGAAAAAGUGCACGGAAAGCAACUGCUAGGUGCCAGGCAGAGAGUAGGGGGCUCCAGAACUGGUAGAAGUCCUGGCGGUUACCGUCUAGAAUGAGAUAUGAAGGAAGCAUUGGAGGUUUCCAGCCUUGGGCUGGCAUUUUCAUCUUUGACAAAGGUGACUCCAGCAGCGUGUGGAGCAACGAAUUGAGUGGAGGUAGAGAAAGGAGUUGACAGACUUUCCAAGGCCAGCUGAGAGAGAAGAGAUCCACAGCAGGGCAGAAGCGCGGCUCAGCAGCAGAAACCUGUUUGCUGCACAUCCUUUGGCUCCUGGCCCUGCCUCUGCGAGCCUGCUUCUCUGCAGGAAUCCCUAGGAACCUAUGCACACUGCCCAGCUCCCAGGACCGGUGCCAAAGCCAUCAAGCAUGGAACAACGCAUGAAAGGAGAAGGGUGGGUUGGAGGAGAGGAAGAGGCUUCCCAGGGGACAUAGAAGACUCCAAUGUGGAUCCAUAAUCACCCCCCGGAAACUUCUGCAACCCGAAUGUCCAAACGAGAAGUUUAAAGGAGAGUGAAAGCGCAUACGAUGCACACGUGCUCACUGUAUACGUUUCUGAGAUGGGAGCCAGACUGAGAGAGCCCACGCCAGCUGUGGAAUGUUUUCCAGAGCUCCCAGGCGCAGACUUGCAGGCAGGAGUGGGAGGCUGGGGAGGGGGGCGGGGCUUCUCCCUACAGGCUUCUCUCUGGAUACUGAGCUCACGUGCCCAUUGCGAUUGAAAACACAUGCGCUGUCAGGCCAGGCAGGAACCAGAAAUCAACAACGUAAAAAUACUGCCGCGCGCAGACACCCUCCCUCCGCGAUCUCGCCCCGCCUCCCCAGUCUCCCUUCAUUUCUUUAUUGGCAACGGGGCUCGCUGGGGAAGAACAGGCUCCCGUCAUAAAUAAUCAGGCAAAAAUCUCACAGGUUGUUACCAAAUUCUCAGCAAGAUCCAUUACCAAGAAUGUCGUGAAUUAUCCAUGUUAGCCCAGCGCCCCUCCCCAUUCUCAUCUCUUUGCUGUUUCAUUCACGCAUCAGUCCAAUUUAUGCUUGAACACCCCCAGUGAUGAAAAGCUGACAGAACAGCCCGAUAAUUGAGAACAGAAGCCUUGGAACAGGUGCUCUGCGGCUCCAGUCCUGGUGCUGCUGCCACCGAACUGCAGGAGUUUGGGCCAGUAUUUCAGCCUUGCUCAUCAUCGGUUUCGUCAUCAACACAAGAGGCUACUGCAAAAAGCUAGCGGGAAACAGAAUUAAAAGGUCUUCCUUAACACUUGGUCAUGCAGAGCCAGAGACAGCUGCCCAUGACUCAGUAGCACUCCCUGGAAAAGGCUUCAGCUAAAACAGCGCACCACAGUAACACCAGCUCCGCUGGAAAGGAAAAACGAGAACUAGAGAACUUAGACUCAAGAUGACAAAGAAAGGGUUUUGUCUGUUUCAGGAAGACAUUUGCCAAUGAAGAUAUUCUUCACAGCUUCUAGAGGGUAGUUCUAAAAUUUAAACAUCAGUGAGCAAAUUCAGCAUCUGGUUAUUCUUAACUUUUAUCCAAAAUCUUUGCCAGGGUUCCUGUCACUACUAGCGCUGUCAUGAACAUGUGAUUUCUUACGAAUGCUUCUAACCCAAUACCUCCCUGUGUUAGGAUGAAUGCAGCCUUGGACAAGUUAGCGUGUUACAGGGGGCAGUUCGCUUCUGUUCCUGAUCCACACUGUAAGUUCCGUAAGAGCAGGAAGGGUGGCUAUCCUGAUUGCCUUUGAGUUCCCAGCACCUACCGUGGUGUCUGCUCCUGUUAGGAACGUAAUAGAUGUUUGUUGAAUGAAUGAAUGAACGAACUUAUAAGCAAUUAGUAACAGGUGAAAAGUAAAUCAUGUCCCUUUAUUCAUCCAGUUUCGGUUAUAAAGAUAUAUGUAAUAAGUUAUUAUAUCCAAUUUCAAUUAUAAAAAUUUAUGUAAUGAUCCAAGAGCAUCUGAAGACAUGUUGUGUAUUUUCUCACUCCUGAAACCAUUUCCUUUUUUUAAAAAAAAGAUUUUUAUUUAUUUAUUUGAAAGUCAGAGUUACAGAGAGAGAUAAGGAAAGGGAGAGAGAGAGAGAGAGAGAGAGAGAGAGAGAGAGAAAGGUCUUCCAUCCGCUGGUUCACUCCCCAAAUGGCCGCAAUGGCCAGAGCUGCGCUGAUCCAAAGCCAGGAGCCAGGAGCUUCCUGCAGGUCUCCCAUGUAGGUGCAGGGGCCCAAGGACUUGGGCCAUCUUCCGCUGCUUUCCCAGGCCAUAGCAGAGAACUGGAUGGGAAGUGGAGCAGCCGGGACUAGAACCAGCGCCCAGAUGGGAUGUACCUGCUAUGUUUUAAGUAAUAUACAGGACCAAAAGAGCCUCUGCCUUCAGUGACCUAGUGAGAAACAAACACUUCUGAAAUGUGAGAAUAAUAAUUUGAGCACUGAUAUGGUGACAACAAUGGGCAACUAGCACAACAAAUUUACAAAGGCAAAAAUCUAUUUAAAAGUUCAACCUCAGGGCCGUCACUGUGGCACAACAGGUUAAGCUGUCACCUACAAGGCCAGCAUCCCAUAUGGGUGCCAGUUUGAGUCCCAGCUGCUCCACUUCCAAUCCAGUUCCGCACUAAUGUGCCUGGGAGGGCAGCAGAGAAUGGCCCAAGUCUCCUGCACCACGUGAGGACCCAGUGGAGUUCCUGGUUCCUGCUGCAUCCUGGCCCAGCCCUGGCUGUUGCAGCCAUCUGAAAAGUGAUCUGGAGAAUGAAAGACCUUCCUCCUCCUCCUCUUCCCUCCUGUGCCCUUCCCUCCUUCCCUCAUUCUCUCUGUUGCUCUGCCUCUCAAGUAAAUAAUUUUUCAAAAAGUUGCUCAACAGCAAGCAAGGGCAUGAAAACUAAAACUCCAGUGAGAUCUCACGUUUUGAAUAAUUAGAGGGUUUCUUCAGAUGGCUAGGGAACAUGCAUUUUAUAAAUCAUGGAUUCCACACACGUUUAUACCAAAAUAAGUAUAUUUUCAGAUUCCACUUUCCACAGCCUCAGUCCCCUUGCACAAUUUGAGAAGACUGAAAAGGAAGGGAGGGUGCAGGACUGGUGGAUCUGGGGGCGUCAGUCAUUCCUGUUCACAGUGAGCAGAAGGAUAGGCAGCCUGCCAGGGCCCUUCCAGAGAGCACCUUGGCAGGCAGUUGCAAAAACGUUCGUUCGCACACCCUUUGACAUCGCACUCCCACUUGUAUAGAUACAUCCUUGGGAAGUUAUUGGAGACAUCCACAGAGAUACAUGUGCAAACAUAUUCAUUGCAGCAGCAUUCAUAAAAAAAGUAGGAAACUUAAAUAUCUGAUGUUAGGAGAGAGAUUAAACUGCAAUAUAUAUAAUCUAAUAUUAUACCUAGGAUACCUCUAUGUCAUAAGCAAGUUUGUUUUUUUUUAACCAAGAAAAUGUUUGUAGUUUAUUGCUAAGUGCAAACUUUAAAGGGGAAAAUAUGUCAGUGCAGAAACUCAGUAAUAGGCGGUCCCUCUGAGCUGGUUAACACCUAGCUUCUUUUGGGCCUUAACCCCUCCAUCUUCAUCUACAAUGGAGAUGAGUUCCUUUUCUCUUAUAUUUUCACAGCUCCAUAGCCUCUCCUUAUCACUUGUCAACAAUAAGAAUAAAGUUGUAAUUUGCAUUGGUUUGUGUGACUCUGCUUAAUGUUGGACUCUCCAACCAGACCAUAGCUGAAUGAAGGAAGGGGCCUGUGCCUGGCACAUUAAGUAUACCAUUAUUUUGAAAUGAUGAGAUGUGACCCCCAUCUUAAUAUAAAAAUCUGUAAGCAUAUAUGGGGAGGAGACUGUGAGAGCAUUUCCACUGUCAAUAUUUUAAUAAUAGAGUUUCUAGGACUAGAAACUUCCAAGUCUUCUGACUUGAGUAUAUUAAAGUUCUUCCAUCAUUUAAAAAAUAAUCAAUAUUAUAGAAAAAAUAAAUCUACAAAAUCAGUGUGGUGAACAACGUAUGUCUACAGAUGAUAUUCCUUGGGCACUUAGGGUUUCCUGAUUUGCUGGACUCGGGAACUGGGGGUAGAUUGAGGGGGUGGGAAUUAUAUCUGGUAGUAUCCAGUAGGGCAGGGAUGCGGGAGGAGACACCAGGAAGCCUUUAUCAGAGUU